AUUAGGCCUAACCGGUAGCAGAUAACAUUAGUAAGUUUGGAUCAAGAACCUUGUUGCUAGCACUUUCCCACGUCUGAGCCUGAAGACCUUGAGUUCUGGAGGUCACCUUUCUCACACUUUUCCAGAAUGACGUCAUGACAUCACGCGAUCUUGUGUUUGCCAUAUUAGACAGAGUGUGCAGUGGAGAGAGAGAGAA